UGGAUUAAAUCCUCAGAAAUGUGUGAUGCUUCCAGGUCAUAUUAUACCAACAUCCAUGAAGAACACUAAAGUAAAUUGGAAAAUACCAUGUGGAUUUCACAAUCAAAUGACUAAUUUGAGACCCAACAAAAGCCACCCUAAACUUAGAGCACGUAAACCAAUUUGAUAUGCACUUCUCUCUUUAUAGUUGCCUAACUUUUUCUAAUUUGUCUUAAUUUUUCAUUUCUUUAGGUCUUAUUAUUCUUCUUCCUUGAAAGAACACGAACUCAUACCCUUGUUUAAAUGCCUGUUUGGUAUUGAGUUUGGAGGGCUCAAAUUAUUUUUCUGAAUAAAAGCACCAUUUUCAAUAUUGUUGAAAAAAGCAGUUUUAAAAAAAAAUUAUUUUGUUAUUUUAAGAUUUUAUAACUAAAAUGCAUCAAAUGUAAUUUUAAAUUAGUCUUUAAUACCCUCUGACUAACAUAUAUAAGCAAAUGUUUUUCUUAACAACUUUAAUAGUAAUGUCAAACAAACCUUAAAUUAUGGCUCGGUCUCGUGUAUAUUGCAAUUUGAAUAAAUUAGCAACAACCUUCAAAUUGACCCCAUUGUACAAUAUAUGCUGGAUAGCUUUAUUUUCAGGCUCCACCAAGUUGUACUUUGUGCUGUAUGUUAGCAAGUUUUGGAUUGGGAAGAUUGACCUGAAACUUUACUUCCUGUUGACUUAAGUAGUGCUGGAUGAAGGGGUAUCUGGCUGGUUUUCUGGCAUACCAUUCUGGAAUGCUGGCAGCUCAUUGUAUGCCUCAUGCAACCUUGAUAGCAGAGGAAAUGGAGUCAUGUCAACAUUAAAUCUUUUAAUUGCUGGAUGAAGCUGUGCUGCUAGAAACAAAUCCGCCAGGAAAAUUUCAUCUCCAGUCGCAUAUCUUCCAGCAUGGUCUUUUAGCAGCUUCUCCAAUGCUGCAAAGCCAUUUCUAAUAUGAUACUGAACCCAAGGAAGUUUCUCGUCUGGACUUACUUUUUCCUCUAUAAAUUUGAGCACAGCUAGAUUCUGCAGAGGCUGUAUGCUUGAAGAAACAAUAUUUGCAGCCUGGUAAUUAAUGGCUUUUUUGUGAAGAUCACGAGGCAACAAUGGAUGCUGAGGAUAUUUUUCAUCCAAAUACAUCAAGAUGGCAAAAGAGUCAGAAACAACAAAGUCACCAUCCACCAGCACCGGCACAUAGCCAAGAGGAUUGAGCUUCAAAAAUUCAGGGUUGAAUUGCUCUCCUUUGACCAGAUUAACAGGUAUAUAUUCGUAACUUAGGCCUUUCAGAUUUAGAGCAAUCCGGACGCGACAAGAGCAAGAGCUUCUCCAGUAGGAGUAGAGCUUGAGCUUGUUUUUGGGCUCUUCAACAGUUGCCAUAUGAAAUUAACAGAGAAAGAAUAGGAUUCUAAUGGGGUUUUCAAGUGUGCUGCUAUGGAAAUGCAGGAAAGGAAAUAGAGAUCAGAGUCCAAAAGCAACACUUCACUUCAUCUAAUCUUCAUCUUCAUCUUCUUGGAUUUUUUAUUUUUUAUUUUUUUUUCCCUUUCUGGGUUUUCUUUCUUGAGUGGGGAAUUUUCUUUGUGGGAUUGCAGCUGGAGUGGAGGAAAGGGAAAGUGAGCCCAAUUGUGAGUAGCUUAAAGGCUAGGUUGAAUCUGAAACCGAUGCCGUUGAAUAUAUUUCAUGAUGCUGAUGGACUGCCCAGGAUUAUCUUGAGUGAGCCCUCUGGUUCAUCUGCUGAGGUGCUUCUGUAUGGUGGACAGGUUGUUUCCUGGAAGAAUGAACGCGGAGAAGAAUUACUUUUCAUGAGCAGAAAGGUGAGCCAUUUUCCUUAUCUAUUUUGAUUGGAGUUUUGUGCUUAUAAUUGUGUUUGUGCUUCGUUUGAAACUUUUUUACAUUCUAGAAAUGAGAAUAUUGAUCUUUGUGAUAGUUUCUUUACAAAUAACUGUGUCUUUAAGGGGUAGUAGUUAUUAGUUUGGAUGUUAACUUUCACUUUCAAUUUUUUACUUGUCUGGUCGUUCAAUCUUAGCUUUUGGCAAAGGGAAAGCCACUUCCUUCCAGCAGUUUGGGAACAACAGCUUAAUGUUCAUCCAGCAACCCUCUCAGCAUGAUGGUAAACAAAUUAGCUGGCCUAAAAAUCUACAAACAUGACAAAUAACAAAUUAUUUAGAUUCUAAACAUAUUUUAAAUUCGUAUAUGAUAGUAUGAUACAAUUAUCUAUCUCAUAAUUAUUACAACACAUUCCAUUCUUGUUGAAAAGAUCGGGCUUUAAGUCUUUUCCAAACUCAGCUGUUUUUGUUUGAGUUGUUAUAUGUACUAAAUCAACAGAUAUCUCCGCAACUUCUGGUCAUGGUGGAUUUCUCUUGUUUGUAGGCUGUUUGGAAGCCACCUAAAGCCAUCAGGGGAGGUAUACCAGUCUGCUUUCCACAGUUUGGGAAUCUUGGUUUACUAGAGCAGCAUGGAUUUGCAAGGAACAGAUUUUGGAGUAUUGAUAACGAUCCCCCUCCCUUUCCAACAAAUACCACCAACAAAGCCUUCAUUGACUUGAUACUUAAGCAAUCUGAAGAAGAUGCGAAGAUCUGGCCUCACAGAUAUGAAUUUCGUCUAAGGAUAACUCUGGGGCCUGGAGGAGACUUGAUGUUGACCUCUCGUAUUCGAAAUACAAACACUGAUGGGAAGUCAUUCACCUUUACGUUUGCCUACCACACCCAUCUUUAUGUUACUGAUAUCAGUGAAGUGCGUGUGGAAGGACUUGAAACACUGGAUUAUCUGGAUAACUUAAAGGAUAGAGAGCGAUUUACUGAACAAGGGGAUGCAAUAACAUUUGAAUCAGAAGUAGAUAAAAUAUACCUCAGCACACCUACUAAAAUUGCUAUUCUGGACCACGAAAGGAAAAGAACAUUUGUAUUGCGAAAAGAUGGACUUCCUGAUGCGGUGGUC
rnacentral:misc_RNA from 1 species